UUGAAGUGUUUGGGGGAACUC
rnacentral:miRNA from 2 species